GUAGGGAAUUUUCGUCAAUGGGCGCAAGCCUGAACGAGCGAUGCCGCGUGAGUGAAGAAGGCCUUCGGGUCGUAAAGCUCUGUUGCGGGGGAAAAAAGGCAGCAUCAGGAAAUGGGUGCUGACUGAUGGUGCCCCGCCAGAAAGUCACGGCUAACUACGUGCCAGCAGCCGCGGUAAUACGUAGGUGGCGAGCGUUAUCCGGAAUGAUUGGGCGUAAAGGGUGCGCAGGCGGUCCUGCAAGUCUGGAGUGAAACGCAUGAGCUCAACUCAUGCAUGGCUUUGGAAACUGGAGGACUGGAGAGCAGGAGAGGGCGGUGGAACUCCAUGUGUAGCGGUAAAAUGCGUAGAUAUAUGGAAGAACACCAGUGGCGAAGGCGGCCGCCUGGCCUGUUGCUGACGCUGAGGCACGAAAGCGUGGGGAGCAAAUAGGAUUAGAAACCCUAGUAGUCC
rnacentral:rRNA from 1 species